CUUGGACGCACAUUUUAUCCGUGAAGUAGUCUGUAAUAAGAUGGACGUUCGUUGAAAGGAAUAUUUAAUAUUGGCUCGAGACGAACAUUGACUAUACUUCACAGGAUUGGUAAUUGAAUCUACACAAAAUACAGAAACAUAGAGGAAAUUAGAGGCGCUCAUGCUCACGUCCGGAACGAGAGUUAUCCCCCAGAGCUUUACAAGUGCUACACCAGGCAACCAGGUGCUGCAAAAGAAAGGGAUUUACUCUGGUUCCACUAUCGACGAAACACUUCAUCGGCGGUUCCACUCUAGCAUAAGAAGUAUGUACGCCAAGUACUAAAUCAAAUGAUAACCAUUUAAUUACCAAAGUUAGGUUAUGUAGUAAUCUUACUUUAUACCCAGCCGGUAAUAUCGCAUGUGGUAUGAAAAUGUUAAGAAAUUUAAAACAAAAAAACCAAGUCGGGUAAGAAAAAGCAUCACAUCUCAGAUCUAUUCUAUGUUUCGUCUAUGAUUAUAGUAUCUAUUUGUAUGAAAAUUUGUUGGCUCAAGGUCAGAUUAUACUAGGUUAGUAUCUUUCACCAUGUGCAUAUUCGUUAUCAAUGCUAAUUAUUGCUAAUAUAUCAAACUUUAUGUAUGAGCUAAUAUAUAAUUUACUACUUGUAUUCGUUAAAGCAAAACAAUAAAUCAAGUUCGUUUUUGAUCUAAUCGUCAUAAAGCACAAUUUACAAUAUGUAUCGAGGCCAAGGUGAUCAAGUCUUGACAAACAAAAUAUCGACAUAAGAUCAGUAAGUGCAUAACACGCCCACGUGUGAAAAGGAUAAUAUCGAAAUAAGCUGGAAUGCUUCAUUUGGACAUGUUAUUUCAUAGUUUUUGUUUGGAGUUGGUAUUAGCAAAUUAGUUUGAAAAAUUUCGGCGGCAAAAGUGUGGUGACGGACAUGUUCAUCGUAGUUACACGUAACUUACUUUCGUCAAAUACAAUCGACAUUUGAAUUUAGAAAAUUGUUGAAAACGGGUGAGAAUCAGUGAAGCAUCUACCAUUAUGGUGGAAUUAUCGAAACUUGCUUUGGAUAUUGCAGUUCCUUCGAAAGUUCUCGCACGUCGUGGCGGAGUUACUAUUUCAGAAGAUAUCGUGACGUUCCUUCAAGUAAGUCAAUUGUUUUUUUCGACUUUUUAUCCUGUUUUUAUAUUUUUAAUUGAAGAAUAAAUAUGUCAUUCAUAACACACCAGACGUACAAAAAUCUACUUUCAAAUCAGUGAUUUAUUGAGAUGAAAUCAUGAGUAGUUUUAUAUUUACAUUUUAUGAUGUAAAUAUAAAUUAUAUUAUAUUAUAAAUCUUUAUUAUAGAAAACGAAAUAUGACAAAUACUACUAUUAAUUAUAGAAUUUACGUUCCAAAAAUUAAUUUCAACAUGUUGUUUGAUUUCGUAGCGAAAUUCCACUGAAAUGAUAGCUUUAUUAAAAGAUGUAAAAAUUAAAGUACGUAAAGAUAAUGAAUGAAAUUGUCGGUACUAUAAAAGACAAAAUACAUGACAAGAACACGUAACUUUUCUUAUGUGAUCGAUCCAUAAAGUUCGUAAGUAACUAAAUAUUUAUGUAGAAUGUAACGUCAAAUAUAAUUUAUGAUAAAAGAAGUCCCGUUUCAUAGUCUUUGUAUUAUGCACACUGAAUAAUGUUCGCGAUACGUCUGGCUCCAAAGGAACGUUUCUAUUGAACGUAUACGAUCUAUCAUGUGCAUAAACAUUAGGCAAUCCUCGUGUUAAAAUUAACUCGGCUCAUUUGUCGAUGGAUAACUAGAAUAGCAACAACAAUUUAAAACAAUCUCAAAGUUAUAUCUUUCGUUAAAUAUGAAGACGGAAAUUAAAUCUAAUUUCAAGUUUCCUUUUUCCUCUUAUAAUAAUUGGAUCAUAGAUAUUUAAUGCAAAUUCAUAUAUUUAUGACCAUGUAAUUAGAAGACUACAGAAUUUGUUUAAACAUUACAAAACAGAGAUUUAUUUUAAAAAUACGCCGAAUAUUAGGUCAAUAUUAUAAACGCGAUUUUAGAAUCAUAAUCGUUAAAAAGAUUUUGAUGUGAUAUAUAAUAUAACGGGCAUUAAAUAAAUAUUACUUCCUUUGAAUUUUGUGAAUUAAAUUCUCGGCAAU